rnacentral:lncRNA from 1 species
UGCUCCCCUAAAUAUCUAAAGAAAAAUUGUUUUUAUCAUCGGCUAUACCAGAUAAUUCAAAUAGUCCCUAAUCUUGCACAUGCCUUUUUUGUUUAAGUUUGUCUUUUGUAUGAGAUAAUUUGGAGAAAUUUAUGUUGUUUCUGGUGGCAAAGAGCAACAUGAACUAUUGUUGCAAGUCCACCAUAUUUUCUCAAAUUUUAUAAGCUAUUCAUUGGCAUGUAUUUUAUUAGUUUUAUUAGUGCUUCCAUUACUUUCUAUUAAAAUAUGCUUAAUGGGCUAGAGACUGUACCUUUUCAAAAAGUUACAGUGUGUGGUAUGUUUGCUGAAGUUGUGAUGGCAGUUCUUCAGGCAGGACCUUCGUCCAUAUAGAUUUUCUCUUUAAACAUCAUUAUAUUUUGGACAAAUGAUGUGCUUACUGAAUUGUCGUUGUUUAUUUUUUGAAGUUAUGCCAUUCAUAAUAUUGCAUUGUAGAUAGACAAAAAGAUAUAGGUAUUGAUUUUUGUGGCUCUAGCAUAAAUGUUUAUCACCACGGUGACAUUUCUUGUUCAAUUUAGAUAAGGGAAAAAACAAGUAUUAAACAGAAAGUAGAGAGGAUAAGAGCAUUGUAGUCCAGGGUGGUUCAUGCCAAAGACUGUAACAAAAUAAUUUCUUAUGAUAGUGCAAAUCAUUGAUGAUGCAGCAGAAGUAACACAAGUUCUGCUAGAAUUUCUCUCAGAUAACAUGGAUAGAGGUGAGUUUUGCAUAAUCCAUCUAUGUAAGAAGCUUGCAUUGAGUAAUUCUUUUCAAGAAGCUUACCAUGCAUAACUACAUGAUACUUGCAGAUCUUAGUGUCAAUUGACAGCGACAUUCUUCAAUGGGAAACCCUGCAUAUAAUUGUCUUGAGUACAGCAAUACAUGAUUUUGUGGCAAUAAAAUGGUCAUGAUUAAUGCAUAAUGUGUGCUCUGUCCGCAUUUUAAUUAUUUAUAUUAAUAUUUCUGGUUAUCACUGCAGGAGUUGCAAUGGAGUUGAUGAGGUAAGUCUGCAAUGCAGACUGCUAAAUGGUAACCACUCCAGAUUUUAUGGACAGUAAAUGGUCCACUGCUAUUGACAGGUGCGUUCCUGCACUCUUCUGACCCAGAUUUGGCAUGAUUUCCAUUUUUUACAAUCAUUGUGUAGUUGCACAAAAAUGAAUACUACUUGGAAAUACGUAAGAGCAUUGCUCAAAACUCACAAACAGACACAACUUUGAAUCAACGAUUUUAUUUAGACAAUGAAACAGUGUUUUUCGACUGAAAAAUCUGUAGUAUAUUUUGAAUUUUAAAUGUAUACACCAAGAAAACAUAGUUCUCUUCAAUUGAAAUUUAAAUUCAUGUUUUGGAAAUCAAAACCAUCUGAAAUUUCAUGAGUUCCGGCUAGAAUGAUUAAUGCUACACCGCUGCUAAUGCCAAAGGUUGUGGCACCUUUGUUUAAUGAUAGUGCAAAUUGAUUGGUCAUGCAGCCAUUGCAACGCAAGUAGUACAAGUUCAUCAUGUGCACCGCCCAUCCAUGAAUUCUUUUUAUCAUUGUUUCUCCCUUCGCAAUGCACGGGCACAUAGUAGGAGAGAUAUGUGUGGUUGGUGGGUGCUAAAUGGUCGUCCCCUCGAAGACAUGGACAAGGUGCGUGUGGUUCACAAUGCGACCUCAUGUCUUACCACGUCAACCAGCCGAUGCUCAUCAUCAGACAUGCUCUUCUCCUAGACGUCAUUGGGAAGAAGCCCAUCUCUUUUGAUCCAUUUGUGCCCUUCACUAAUGCACGUGGAGUCGGACUGAGAGUUUCUCAGGGGUGUGACACAAACUACUUGAGUUUAAACUAAUUUUCGUAUCUACUAAAAUUUUCUUUAAAAAAUUUAAAGUAUGCUACUGCUUAUUUUUUUAUUGUUCAGGUAGAUUCUAGCACGAGUGUUUACCUUUAUUCUGCAUGUAAUGAGAAUGUUGUGGCUAAUAGGUUUAAAAUUGUCAUUUUAGUUUCGCCUCAAAUUAUAUUUUGUCAUUUUGCUAUCAUUCAUUGAAAUUAUAGAACACACAAAAGUAUAAGCAGCGAGCCAGCGACAUAUGCCAAAAUGGAUGAACCUGUGUGGAUGGGGUAUUUCAUUCAUUUUUAUUUUAGGAUGUGAUUUUUGUUUCUCCUGUUGCAACGCACGGGCCUUUUUGCUAGUUCAAGCUCAAAUGUCUUAUUAAAAUCAGGAAGUUGGAGUAAAGGAGCAUGUAUCAACUUAUCUUUCAACACCGUGAAGGCUUCUUCUUGUGCGGUACCCUAAACAAAAGGCACAUCCUUCUUUGUAAGCUCAUUGAGAGGUGCAGCAACGGUGCUAAAAUCUCUCACAAAAUGCCUAUAGAAUCCAGCGAGGCCAAGAAAACUCCGCACUUAUGUGAUCGUUUUGGGCUGCGGCCAACUCUCAAUAGCUUUAAUUUUGGCUUUAUCAACUUCAAUUCCCUGUGGAGUAAUAACAUAGCCAAGAAAAGACACUCUGUCGGUGCAAAAGGUGCACUUACC